rnacentral:rRNA from 1 species
UACAGAGGGGGCAAGCGUUAUUCGGAAUUAUUGGGCGUAAAGGGCGCGUAGGCGGCUUGGCAAGUGGGAGGUGAAAUCCCUCGGCUUAACCGAGGAACUGCCCUCCAAACUGCUUUGCUUGAGGCCGGGAGAGGUGAGUGGAAUUCCCAGUGUAGCGGUGAAAUGCGUAGAUAUUGGGAGGAACACCAGUGGCGAAGGCGGCUCACUGGACCGGUUCUGACGCUGAGGCGCGAAAGCGUGGGGAGCAAACGGG